rnacentral:rRNA from 1 species
CCUACGGGCGGCUGCAGUAGGGAAUUUUCGGCAAUGGGCGAAAGCCUGACCGAGCAACGCCGCGUGAACGAAGAAGGUCCUCGGAUUGUAAAGCUCCGUUAUAGAGGAAGAAUGGUGUACGUAGGAAAUCGCGCACAAAUGACGGUACUCUGUGAGGAAGCCACGGCAAACUACGUGCCAGCAGCCGCGGUAAUACGUAGGUGGCGAGUGUUAUCCGGAAUCAUUGGGCGAAAAGAGGGAGCAGGCGGAAGGUUAAGUCAGCGGUCAAAUGUCGGUGCUCAACACCGGCCUGCCGUUGAAACUGGUCUUCUUGAGUGAGCGAGAGGUAUGCGGAAUGCGUGGUGUAGCGGUGAAAUGCAUAGAUAUCACGCAGAACUCCGAUUGCGAAGGCAGCAUACCGGCGCUCAACUGACGCUGAGGCACGAAAGCGUGGGGAUCGAACAGGAUUAGAUACCCGGGUAGUC